GACGAACGCUGGCGGCGUGCUUAACACAUGCAAGUCGAACGGAAAGGCCCUGCUUUUGUGGGGUGCUCGAGUGGCGAACGGGUGAGUAACACGUGAGUAACCUGCCCUUGACUUUGGGAUAACUUCAGGAAACUGGGGCUAAUACCGGAUAGGAGCUCCUGCUGCAUGGUGGGGGUUGGAAAGUUUCGGCGGUUGGGGAUGGACUCGCGGCUUAUCAGCUUGUUGGUGGGGUAGUGGCUUACCAAGGCUUUGACGGGUAGCCGGCCUGAGAGGGUGACCGGCCACAUUGGGACUGAGAUACGGCCCAGACUCAUACGGGAGGCAGGAGUGGGGAAUAUUGCACAAUGGGCGGAAGCCUGAUGCAGCAACGCCGCGUGCGGGAUGACGGCCUUCGGGUUGUAAACCGCUUUCGCCUGUGACGAAGCGUGAGUGACGGUAAUGGGUAAAGAAGCACCGGCGAACUACGU
rnacentral:rRNA from 1 species